rnacentral:rRNA from 1 species
AAUAUUUGACAAUGGGCGAAAGCCUGAUCCAGCCAUGCCGCGUGUGUGAAGAAGGUCUUCGGAUUGUAACGCACUUUAAGUUGGGAGGAAGAGUUGUAGGCUAAUACCUUGCAAUUUUGACGUUACCAACAGAAUAAGCACCGGCUAACUUCGUUCCAGCAUCCGCGGUAAAACGUAGGGGGCAAGCGUUAAUCGGAAUUACUGGGCGUAAAGCGCGCGUAGGUGGUUCGUUAAGUUGGAAGUGAAAGCCCCGGGCUUAACCUGGGAAUUGCUUUCAAAACUGACGAGCUAGAGUACGGUAGAGGGUAGUGGAAUUUCCUGUGUAGCGGUGAAAUGCGUAGAUAUAGGAAGGAACAUCAGUGGCGAAGGCGACUACCUGGACUGAUACUGACACUGAGGUGCGAAAGCGUGGGGAGCAAACAGG